AGAGUUUGAUCCUGGCUCAGAAUCAACGCUGGCGGCGUGCCUAACACAUGCAAGUCGAACGCGAAAGCCCCGCAAGGGGUAAGUAGAGUGGCAAACGGGUGAGUAACACGUGGGUGACCUGCCUUCGAGUGGGGGAUAACGUCCCGAAAGGGACGCUAAUACCGCAUGACAUCCUGCCUUUGAAGAGGCGGAAAUCAAAGCUGGGGAUCGCAAGACCUAGCGCCUGAAGAGGGGCCCGCGCCUGAUUAGCUAGUUGGUGGGGUAACGGCUCACCAAGGCAACGAUCAGUAUCCGGCCUGAGAGGGCGGACGGACACACUGGGACUGAGACACGGCCCAGACUCCUACGGGAGGCAGCAGUGGGGAAUUGUUCGCAAUGGGCGCAAGCCUGACGACGCAACGCCGCGUGGAGGACGAAGAUCUUCGGGUCGUAAACCUCUGUCACUGGGGAAGAACGCUUUGAGUUAAUAGUUCAAAGCCUGACUUAACCCGGAGAGGAAGCAGUGGCUAACUCUGUGCCAGCAGCCGC
rnacentral:rRNA from 1 species